rnacentral:rRNA from 1 species
ACCUUAUAACUAGUCUAAACACCCCAAAAAAACAUUAUAACCCAUUAAACUUUAAACCAUAACUAAAACAUUUAUAAUUUUUAGUAUAGGCGAUAGAACAAAAUCUUAGAACUAUAGUUAAAGUACCGCAAGGGAAAGCUGAAAAAGAAUUGAAACAACCAUAAAGUAUAAAAAAGCAGAGAUUAAACCUCGUACCUUUUGCAUCAUGAUUUAGCUAGAAAAAAUAAGCAAAAAGACUUAAAGUUUAUCAUCCCGAAACUAGACGAGCUACUUCGAGGCAGCAAUAAGUGCGAACCCGUCUCUGUAGCAAAAGAGUGGGAAGACCCCCAGGUAGCGGUGAUAUACCUAUCGAGCCUAGUGAUAGCUGGUUACCCAAAAAAAGAAUUUUAGUUCUGCAUUAAAUAUUCAAAUAUUUACACAAGAACAUCUUCCUAAAAAUAUUUGUAAUACUUAAUAGUUAUUCAAAAGAGGUACAACCCUUAUGAAAAAAGAAACAACUUUAUUAGGAGGAUAAAGAUCAUAUUUAACAAAACAAUAAACCCAGUAGGCCUGACAGCAGCCACCUGUAAAGCAAGCGUCACAGCUCUAAUUAAAACUAACUUUAUAAUUUAGAUAAUUAAUCUAAAACCCCUAAUCAUCUAUUGGGUUAUUCUAUUGAACAAUAAAAGAAAUAAUGCUAAAAUGAGUAAUAAGAAGCUUAAACUUCUCCUUCACAUAAGUGUAUACCAGAAAGAAUUAAAUCACUGGUAAUUAACCGUCACCAAACAGAGGUAAAUAUAACAUAAACACAAAACCAGAAAUAAAUAUUAACCUAAACGUUAACCCUACACCGGCAUGUUAUAAGGAAAGAUUAAAAGGAAAUAAAGGAACUCGGCAAACACAAACUCCGCCUGUUUACCAAAAACAUCGCCUCUUGAUUAACAAACAUAAGAGGUCAAGCCUGCCCUGUGAUAUAUUUAACGGCCGCGGUACCCUGACCGUGCAAAGGUAGCGUAAUCACUUGUCUUUUAAUUGAAGACCCGUAUGAAUGGCACCACGAGAGUUUAUCUGUCUCUAUUUCCCAAUCAAUGAAAUUGAUCUCCCCGUGCAGAAGCGGGGGUAAUACUAUAAGACGAGAAGACCCUAUGGAGCUUCAAAUAAUUAAAUUAAUAAAACAAGACAUUUUAAACGACAGUUAUAAACACACACCUUAUUUUAAUUUAACAUUUUUGGUUGGGGCAACCAAGGGGAACAAAAAAACCCCCUUAUCGAUUAAGUAUUAUAUGUACUUAAAAUAAUAGAAAGACUUUUCAAAUUUACAGAACAUCUGACGAAAUAUGACCCAAGAAUCUUCUUGAUCAAUGAACCAAGUUACCCUAGGGAUAACAGCGCAAUCCUUUCCAAGAGUCCAUAUCGCCGAAAGGGCUUACGACCUCGAUGUUGGAUCAGGAUAUCCUAAUGGUGUAGCCGCUAUUAAGGGUUCGUUUGUUCAACGAUUAAUAAUCCUACGUGAUCUGAGUUCAGACCGGAGCAAUCCAGGUCAGUUUCUAUCUAUAAUUAAUAUUUUUCCCAGUACGAAAGGACCGGAAAAAUGAAGCCACUGCUAUAAGCAAGCUUCAAUUUCACUCACUGAAAAAACUAAAGUAAGUAAGAAAAAUUACCACUCCAUUAAAAAUAAUAACGC